GGAUUGUGGCUUAGUGGUAGAGCGCUUGCCUAGCACAUGUGAGGCCCUGGGUUCGAUCCUCAGCACCA
rnacentral:tRNA from 1 species